AUAACAUAAUAGACACAGAUAAAUAUGAAAAUAUCAAGAAAAUCAGCAAAUUAGUAGAGAUGAUAAUGCAGUCACUAAUGAACAUAAUUAGAAGUUCUAAAUAUAUUUUAUUGUAAUUAUAAUAGAAGCUAAUGAUAUAAUAUUGAUUAUAUUAAUCAAAUAAAGUGGAUUUAUACUUCAUGAACUUUGGAAAUAUAAAAUCUAGUGAGCAAUACUAAGGAAUGAAAAAGAGAAGCUAUGGAGAAUGAAAUAAUGGUUGGUUAAAUAACAUUACCUCAAGAACAGGAAACAGUAACUGAAACUAUGUUCUUCUACAUUUAAUCUUAAUAAGUUCAGCAGUUUGAAUGUUAAUGAGACAUUAUUAUAAACAAACUGCAUUUGUAGAUUUUGGGAAGAAUUAUAUCUUUACAAUAACA